rnacentral:rRNA from 1 species
CCUACGGGAGGCAGCAGUGAGGAAUAUUGCGCAAUGGGCGUAAGCCUGAACCAGCCAAGUCGCGUGAGGGAUGAAGGUUCUAUGGAUCGUAAACCUCUUUUAUAAGGGAAUAAAGUGCGGGACGUGAUCCGUUGUGUAUGUACCUUAUGAACAAGGAUCGGCUAACUCCGUGCCAGCAGCCGCGGUAAGACGGAGGAUCCGAGCGUUAUCCUGAUUUAUUGGGUUUAAAGUGUGCGUAGGCGGCAUGUUAAGUCAGCGGUGAAAGGCUGUGGCUCAACCAUAGAAUUGCCGUUGAAACUGGGAGGCUUGAGUAUGUUUGAGGAAGGCGGAAUGCGUGGUGUAGGGGUGAAAUGCUUAGAUAUCACGCAGAACCCCGAUUGCGAAGGCAGCCAGCCAGGCCAUGACUGACGCUGAUGAACGAAAGCGUGGGGAUCAAACAGGAUUAGAUACCCGUGUAGUC